rnacentral:rRNA from 1 species
AUCCGGGUUGCGGACAGUGUCUGGUGGGUAGUUUGACUGGGGCGGUCUCCUCCCAAAGAGUAACGGAGGAGCACGAAGGUUGGCUAAUCCUGGUCGGACAUCAGGAGGUUAGUGCAAUGGCAUAAGCCAGCUUGACUGCGAGCGUGACGGCGCGAGCAGGUGCGAAAGCAGGUCAUAGUGAUCCGGUGGUUCUGAAUGGAAGGGCCAUCGCUCAACGGAUAAAAGGUACUCCGGGGAUAACAGGCUGAUACCGCCCAAGAGUUCAUAUCGACGGCGGUGUUUGGCACCUCGAUGUCGGCUCAUCACAUCCUGGGGCUGAAGUAGGUCCCAAGGGUAUGGCUGUUCGCCAUUUAAAGUGGUACGCGAGCUGGGUUUAGAACGUCGUGAGACAGUUCGGUCCCUAUCUGCCGUGGGCGCUGGAGAAUUGAGGGGGGCUGCUCCUAGUACGAGAGGACCGGAGUGGACGCAUCACUGGUGUUCGGGUUGUCAUGCCAAUGGCACUGCCCGGUAGCUAAAUGCGGAAGAGAUAAGUGCUGAAAGCAUCUAAGCACGAAACUUGCCCCGAGAUGAGUUCUCCCUGAGACCUUGAGUCUCCUGAAGGAACGUUGAAGACGACGACGUUGAUAGGUCGGGUGUGUAAGCGCAGCGAUGCGUUGAGCUAACCGAUACUAAUGAACCGUGAGGCUUAACCUUACAACGCCGAAG